AUUGAACGCUGGCGGCAGGCCUAACACAUGCAAGUCGAACGAGUGGCGGACGGGUGAGUAAUGUGUGGGAGACUGCCCGAUGGAGGGGGAUAACUAAAGGAAGAGGUAGCUAAUACCGCAUACAAUCGGACCUGCCCCGAUGGGAGUAGCUAGUAGGUGGGGUAACGGCUCAACCAGGCGACGAUCCCUAGCUGGUCUGAGAGGAUGACCAGCCACACUGGAACUGAGACACGGUCCAGACUCCUACGGGAGGCAGCAGUGGGGAAUAUUGCACAAUGGGCGCAAGCCUGAUGCAGCCAUGCCGCGUGUAUGAAGAAGGCCUUCGGGUUGUAAAGUACUUUCAGCGAGGAGGCGUUACUCGCAGAAGAAGCACCGGCUAACUCCGUGCCAGCAGCCGCGGUAAUUC
rnacentral:rRNA from 1 species